rnacentral:rRNA from 1 species
UACGUAGGGUGCAAGCGUUGUCCGGAAUUAUUGGGCGUAAAGAGCUCGUAGGCGGUUUGUCGCGUCUGCUGUGAAAACUCAGGGCUUAACCCUGAGCCUGCAGUGGGUACGGGCAGACUAGAGUGUGGUAGGGGAGAUCGGAAUUCCUGGUGGAGCGGUGGAAUGCGCAGAUAUCAGGAGGAACACCGGUGGCGAAGGCGGAUCUCUGGGCCAUAACUGACGCUGAGGAGCGAAAGCAUGGGGAGCGAACAGG